GACGAACCACACGAACGUUAUUCGGAAUUACUGGGCUUAAAGGGCGUGUAGGCGGCGGCGUAAGUGUCGAGUGAAAUCCCAUCGCUCAACGAUGGAACGGCUCGGCAAACUGCGUCGCUUGAGGUCGGUAGAGGUGCCUGGAACUCUAGGUGGAGCGGUGAAAUGCGUAGAUAUCUAGAGGAACGCCAGAGGCGAAAGCGGGGCACUGGGCCGAAUCUGACGCUGAUACGCGAAAGCGUGGGGAGCAAACAGG
rnacentral:rRNA from 1 species